rnacentral:rRNA from 1 species
CGGCCGCGUCGACCGGGAAACCGGUGCUAAUACCGAAUAGUUUGUUUCACCACCUGGUGAAACACGGAAAGACGGUUUCGGCUGUCACUGCAGGAUGGGCCCGCGGCGCAUUAGCUAGUUGGUGGGGUAAUGGCCUACCAAGGCGACGAUGCGUAGCCGACCUGAGAGGGUGAUCGGCCACACUGGGACUGAGACACGGCCCAGACUCCUACGGGAGGCAGCAGUAGGGAAUCUUCCGCAAUGGACGCAAGUCUGACGGAGCAACGCCGCGUGAGUGACGAAGGUUUUCGGAUCGUAAAACUCUGUUGUGAGGGAAGAACAAGUACCAAGUAACUACUGGUACCUUGACGGUACCUCACCAGAAAGCCACGGCUAACUACGUGCCAGCAGCCGCGGUAAUACGUAGGUGGCAAGCGUUGUCCGGAAUUAUUGGGCGUAAAGCGCGCGCAGGCGGUCCCUUAAGUCUGAUGUGAAAGCCCACGGCUCAACCGUGGAGGGUCAUUGGUUGGUAGGGGAGCAUUCCAUUCAGCGUCGAAGGCGUACCGUGAGGUAUUCUGGACG